AGGUGAAAACAACCACUGGAUGUCUGGCUGGUUUGAUUAAAAGAGGAUUUUGUGAUACUGUGCAAGACCCCUUGGAAGCCUCUGAAGAAAGCAAUAGCAAUGAAACUCGAGCUGCCUUUUCCUAA